rnacentral:rRNA from 1 species
AGAGUUUGAUCCUGGCUCAGGACGAACGCUGGCGGCGUGCUUAAUACAUGCAAGUCGAGCGGGUGCAGCAAUGCAUCAGCGGCGGACGGGUGAGUAACGCGUGGGCAAUCUGCCUUCUAGUCUGGGAUAACAGUUCGAAAGGACUGCUAACACCGGAUAUGCUCACAUCCCGGCAUCGGGAAGUGAGGAAAGUUUACGCU